AAUUUAAAGCUUCACUUAUCUCUUAUCUACAGUAUUUUAUAAAUGGCUACAGACAGAGCUGUGCAUGUUUUCAACACAGGACAUGAUACUGCAAACAACUCUUACUCCCCGGCAUAGGACUUACAACUGAGCUCUUCUACAGGUUUAUUCUCAGUAGUGAUCACUACACUGUUUAAUAAAUGUUUGCAGGAUCAUGCCCACAGUUGGAAAAGCUGAUAAUUUAGUUUUAGUCAGGUUUUUUUUCUACGCAGCAAGACUAGUGUACCUGGGUACAUGUGCAUAUGGAUGUAUGGAAGAAGAGAAAUAUUUGAGACAUUCACUGUUCCUAAAGCUUAAAAAAGCAGCUGAAAACAAAGGUAACAUCACCACCAAGCGACAGAAGUGCUGAUCAAAGGGAAGAGCCUGGCUGAAGGGCAAUCAGCCAGCCUGUGGUGAGAAGCAUCUAAGUUUGUAAGGACGCUGAAAGUGUUAGAAGCUAGGGGACAACUCUGGUUCCAAUUUUUCUGAGUACAAGAACCCUAGACAUUACACCUACCACAGAGUGCCUCAGACUGCGUACAUCCAAGAAUGCUGCAUGUAUUACUUCAUUGCAUGACCUGAAGGCCUAAUGGACAUCUCAGACCCUGGCAACUAUCAAGUUUUUAUAUUGCUUUUCCUGGGCUUCUGUACAGAAAUUUGAGACGGCUACAACAAGCACCCAGUCAAUGACUUCUUUCAGAGAGAAUCUCAGAGAACUGAAGAUGGGGUUACAAGCUCUCAGAAAAAUCCACCACAGGAGGAGAGGGAUAAAAAACAAAACUCACCCCAUC